rnacentral:misc_RNA from 1 species
ACUUCCCUCAUCUCUGCUUCCCUGGCCCUGAGAUACAACAAGUUCUCAUGGAUUGCGGAAACUGCACCUUCUAACUUCGCAAGCUCCAGCUCGACGCCCUCAAGCUUUUCUUUUCGAGCCACCGAGUCCCAGUCCUUGGCUGCAAUCCCAAUCUUCCAAUCAAGGCUAACACUAGCCCCUACACUUUUGUCAGGGCCAGGGCUAUCUAUCCAGAAACAAGCCAGGUAGUUGCCAGCCUCGGUAGUUGUGAAGGCAAACUGACCUGAUGUAGCAUUUUCUUUGUGAUGAAGUGUGUUCCCAUAUGGUGAAGUCACCUUGCAGGAGAGGGAGGGAGUGCCGUGGGUGCUGUGAUCCUCGUGGAUGGAGUAAUAGUCGGCGAGGACGACGACGUUGGGCUGGAUCUCCUCCGAUACGCACUUCGUUCCCGACGGCGGCAACUCCAACCACACGGCGUUUGCCGCCGGCAGCAGGAGGAGCGGGAGGAGGAGGAGCAACGCCGCGGCGGAUCUCUGGAUCGCGGCACGGUGCGCCAUCGGCGUUU